rnacentral:rRNA from 1 species
GAUGAACGCUGGCGGCGUGCCUAAUACAUGCAAGUCGAGCGAAGCGGGGACGGGUGAGUAACACGUGGAUAACCUCCUAUAAGACUGGGAUAACUUCGGGAAACCGGAGCUAAACCGGCUUCUUAUCGCUGGACCCGCGCUGCAUUGGCUAGUUGGUAAGGGAACGGCUUACCAAGGCAACGAUGCAUAGCCGACCUGAGAGGGUGAGCGUCCACACUGGAACUGGGACACGGUCCAGACGCCUACGGGAGUGAGCAGUGGGGAAUCUUCCGCAAUGGGCGAAAGCCUGACGGAGCUACGCCGCGUGAGUGAUGAAGGUCUUCGGAUCGUAAAGUUCUGUUAGUAGGGAAGCGGUACCUAAUCAGAAAGCCACGGCGAACAAGGUGCCAGCCGCCGCGGUAAUAC